rnacentral:lncRNA from 1 species
CCGAAGUCUUUCCGCUACUUUCUCACCUGCCUCCAUGGCCCGACCCCGGAAGUAGGAGCCCCAAGGGUCCUGAGGCGCCCCAGGGUGCAGAAGCUGGGAGAGCCUGGCGGGUGGCCUGCAGCAGGGGCCGGGAGGCUGGGGUGCUUCGGAGGGGAAGGGAGGUGACUUCCUGAAACAGUGAGGGGAAGCUACAGCCCGGCAGAAGUCAGCCUAUGGGUGUGAGCGGCGGCGCGGGGUGGCUGGGGAGGGGUGGCGCGGCGAAGGGGCCAGCGCAGCAUCCCACCAGGCAGGCAGGGCCGGGGCCGAGGGCCGAGCGGGAGCGGAGGCUGCGCCUGGCGCUCCCGGGGGCGGGGGCUCGGGACUAGCUCUGCCUAACCCGGCCUCCGGACACCCGAGCCCGGCCCGCUAAAUUUAGCCCCCGCCCCUGGAUUCACGGGUCACGGAUCCCUCCCUCACGUGCUGGGGGCAAGUGCGCGGCCCGGGCCUGAGCGGCGGGUAAAGGCCACCGGUGGGGCGGCCUCGAGGGCAGGCGCGGCCCCUCCGCGGCCGGCGCAAGGCGGGAAGCGCGCAGGGCGAGGCCGUGAUGGCAGCGCGUGACCGCGGGGGUGCGGCCGGCGCCCUCCCUGCCUCCCUCACUUCCCCAGCGGAGGAGGCGGGACCGACGCGCAGGGCACAGCUGGGGUAGCCCCCGCCCCGGACCCGCCCCGGCCCGGCCCGGCCCGGCCCGGCCCCUACCUGCCUGCCUCCCCGGCCCGCGGCGGGGCUCGAGGGCGGGCUGGCUACCCGGCCCCGGGCAUGGCGCCCCGGGCGGCGAGCGGAGAAAAGCGGGGCACGGGGCUGGGGGGCGGCCCGCAGCGCUGCGCCACGCUACGCCACGCCACGCGGGGACUGAGCUGCCGCCAGCGAGUGGGGCCUGUCCGCUCCCGCGGCGCCCCGCUUUCUCCGCCCCCACCCUCCGGACCGCGGGCGCCGCCGCCGCCGUCGCCCCUGGCCCGCCGGCCGUGACCCUGGCUAGCGC